CCUACGGGAGGCAGCAGUAGGGAAUAUUGCUCAAUGGGCGAAACCCUGAAGCAGCAACGCCGCGUGCAGGAUGAAGGUUUUCGGAUUGUAAACCCCUUUUGUUAGAGCAGAAAAUGACGGUAUGUGACGAAUAAGCACAGGCUACUCCGAGCCAGCAGCCGCGGUAAUACGGAGGGUGCACGCGUUAAUCGGAAUCACUGGGCGUAAAGAGGGCGUAGGCGGGAUAUCAAGUCAGAUGUGAAAUUCUGUGGCUUAACCAUAGAACUGCAUUUUAAACUGUUAUUCUUGAGUGUGGGAGAGGUAUGUGGAAUUCGUGGUGUAGCGGUAAAAUGCGUAGAGAUCAAGAAGAACACUCAUUGCGAAGGCGACCUGCUGGAACGUAACUGACGCUGAUGCUCGAAAGCGUGGGGAGCAAACAGGAUUAGAUACCCGGGUAGUC
rnacentral:rRNA from 1 species